GAUGCCAAGUUGCUGAAGGCUGAGAUGAAGCAACUAGAGAUCAAGGUCGCCAAGGCCUGAGGUGAUGUUGAGGCCUGGCUGAACACGGCAACCAGCAAAUGGGAGAAGAGGCUGGAAGCCGAAAAAGCCACCGCAGUCGAGGCAUUCGCUCCUAAAAAAAGCUUUAGACGAUCAAGCUGAAGUUCGGCUCUGAGUCCUAUCUAUGGAGACUUGCAGACUUCAAGAUGAAAGUCCAAAGUCAAUUUUCUGACCUUGACCUCAGACCUCUGGAGUUGGACGGUGAGGAGGA
rnacentral:lncRNA from 1 species